CACCAGUAUAAGAAAUGGGAAAGACACUCUCGUGGAAAUUUCUGUAUAAAUUUAAAAAUAGUAUUGUUGGCAAUGUUAUCAUUCCAGGAUGUUUUUAGAGGGGGAGAACUUUGCAUGAGGAAGUACAAGCAAAACUGAAUCAUGAGCAAUUUAUGUUAUUACCUUCAGGGCAUCCAUAAAUUAAGCCAGAUAAUUAUUCACAGGCUCAGAAAACUCUGAGACAAGAAGCCAUGGCUGUAAACCAAGAAGGAGAAAAUCAGAUUUUUCCUUAGUACCCAUUUAUGAGAGGAAAAGCAAUUAGAAAGAAGAUCCUUUAAGUAAAGGAAGACGGGGAAACACCAUUAAGUAGGUAGCCAACCAGUUAGUCAAUAUGACGAUAGUGCAAAUGAUGCAAAAAAUAUCGUCUCUUGCCUCCCCCAAAGUUUCAGGAGCUGGCUCAUUGAGUUUUUUGAGAAGUAAAGAAUUUGAGAGAUGAUUCAGUCUACCUCCAUCCUUUUCAUAGGUGAGAAAUGGCAGCCCAGAGGGACGAAGAGAUUUGCCCACAGUUGAGGAGCCACUUAACUGCAGAGUGGUUGGUAACACAGGCCACCUGAUGCCUGUCCCAGAGCUCUCCCCAUCUCCUCUGCCUCCUUCUCUCAGACUUGAACCUGGAGAUUCCCCUGUAGUGGAGGAAGGACUUUCCCUCUACCUUCCUGGGUUCAAUAGCUGGGUCCAUGAAAUAAACUGACGACAGGCAGAUUAACAGCAGAAAAGGUAUGCAAAUGUAUUCGUUUUUAGUAUUAUGUGCACAGGGCAUCAUAGGAAAAAACAAGCAGGCACUCACUAAAGGGGUGAGAUCUGAAAGCUGAUACAUCGUUUUCAUAGGGGAAAGGGGGGCGGGGGUCAACUUAGGUGAGAGCAAGUGACUUUCAGGAAAACUGCAGGAGCCCCUAGAAGACUAGAUGGGAGGUGUGAUAGCUUGUCACAAAGUUUGCUGGCGGUGGUACCGACUUCUAGUUUCCUCUCCCGUGAUAAGGGUCCAUCGUCCCUGCUGAUGACACUCCUGGGG
rnacentral:lncRNA from 1 species